CAUAUUUACUGGCCACCUCCUCUGUGCUAGGCACGGCCCUAGUGCGGCAUCCAGGGGUGCACGUGAGCCUCUGCCCUGAGGGGCUGCCACUCUAGAGGGGCUAAGAGAUGAAAGAGGCCGUUCCUGGCAUCCCAGAAGCCCCCCAAAGCCCAGCCAGUGACGUGCUCUGGGUUCCCAUUUUCUGCCUUCCCAGAGCUCCUGGCCAGCCCCACCGCCCCUAUAAGUCCUGGAGUUCUGCGGCAGGACCCCCAGGUCACUUGCCCCCUGGGCGCAGCCCCCGUGAAAGGGACUGGGUACAUCUGGGAAACCCCUGGCUUUUCUUAGUUUUAGCUCAAAUAAGGUCAUUAUGUUUUUAAAGUUACUUCUCCUCUGAAACAAAAAACCACAUCACAACCCACACACUGCGUGGCACAGACAUGGGGGGUGGGGCCCACACCCCGAUAAGCUCAGCGUUUCAAAGCCCCGAGAUGCGCCCUCCGUUUAGCCAGAGUCCGAGGGGGCCUCUCUCCGCUCCCUGCUCUCUACAAGGCUUCGGGGCAGACUCCGGACCCCCCAUGCGGCGCUGGAGCCCGGGCCUCCUCUGCCUCCCCCUCUCUUCCUGCGCUCACACCUCGGCCGUCAGCCUCCACUCUCGUUUCCUCAAACCCACCUUCCCGGUCCCUGCACCCCAAGGCCUUCGCACAUGCCCGUCCCCUUUCCUCGAAUCUUUUCCUCCCUCUGCUCCUCGAACUUCCCUGCUGGCCACGGUGGGCUGGGGUCUCCUCUCAUGUGCGUUCCGCCCCCUAAGCCUACCACCCCAGUAGCGGCAGUCCUUGCCUUAUGCCAAUACUGACGGCGGUGCAUAAAUGCCUUCACUCACUGUGUUGUCCCAGCAUGCACAUAGUCUCUCAUUUAAUCCCUCUCACCUGCUUCCAAGAUAGGCAUGAGUUGCCCCAUUUUGCAGAGGAGGAAACACAGGUACGGGAGACCACAGGAGUUAGAGCUCAAGUGGGUAAGGGGGACACUGCUGUCCCACCCUCUGUGCCACUCCCAUCCUCCUUGCUGACGGAAUCCUAGUUUUGUGCAGGGCAGGCGUUUGUACCUAACACCUGACAAAAUACUUGUUUUCCCAGCCGGCUUUGUAGCUGGGGUUCCAAGGUCACAUAGUUCUGGCCAAAAAGACAUAAGGGAAAAUCAGCUGGAGAGGUGGCUUCUACGAAAGUUUUUGUUUUCUUCCAUAAAAAUUGACAGACCUAACUGAUACUGCCCUUGGUCCUGCCCCCUCCCUGGCUUCAAUACCGAUGGGAUGUCUGGAGCUGCAGCAGCCAUCCUGUGAGCUUGAGGCCAGAGAUGUGAAGACACAAGCCAACGAGGGCUGAGAGCGGAUGAGGAGAAAGGGAAAAAGGGCCUGGGCCCCGACAGCAUCAGUUGGCACCUGAAUUAGUGCCAGCGACUGCCUUGUUAUGGGAACAAAGGAAAAUGAAGCCACCUAUUUGUUUAUUCCUCCAUUGGUUGGGCCUUCUAUUACUGUUAGCUGACAGCAUUUGCAACUGAGGGCUUAGGACUCCUAGCCCAGUGCUCUUUCCACCGUAUCAUGUACCCAGCAGGCACUGGACAUGGGUGAGUCACUUGCUUCUGCUCUGCACAUUGGCCAAGGGCCAGGGGCCUCGCAGACAGGAAAGAGAAACGGUGUGGGAAGUCGGCGAGAAUCUGUGUUGAAACAGGAAGACCUGUCGGCUGCGGGCGGGAGCUGACAACACGGUGCUCACUCCUGUGACAACAGCCACGCCCAGGGCCCGCCUAGUGCCAGGCCUGGCCGGGCUGUCAGCCUCGCACUCGGCCCUUCUUGCAAUGAAACCACGGCCUGGCGGGCCGGGACAGCGCCUGCUGGACAGACGGCUUCACCCACCGCCCGCUGGCCCGAGCCUGGCCGCUCGCGUCCCUUCCUCCUGAGCGGUGGCCGGGGUCCCGCGGGCUCCUCCCAUCCCUCACCCCAGCUCCCACUGGUCACCAGGCCCGGGCAGUUCGACCUCCCAGGACCUGCUGAAUCCACGCCCUUGUCCCCACGGCUGCCCCCCUCUCUGCCUGUCCUCCGUCUUCCACUGGGGGUCCUCCUUGUGUACAAACAUGCUCGGGCCUCUCAGAAGCCGUGACAUCCUCCUGUUGCCUUCAAACACGCUCACGCAGCCGCCGGGUCAUUUGGUCACGUAAGCAUUCGGCAAACAGCUAAGGAGACCGGUGCCAGACCCGGGGUGUGAGGGCCAGUCAGACGGCAAGCUCCAUGACAGCAAGGACCCGAGUGCUGUGUUCGCGGUUUAACACCAAGACCCUGGUGUGUCCUGGCCCCUUAAUCCUUGCUGGAAGAAUGUUUGCGUUUAUGCAAACGAGCCAGUGGACCAGGGAUGGACUUCAGUGGAGGGAGAGAGACCGACCGACCGUUCCAGCCACGAGUGGAGCCCGCCCUUCUGGCAUCCCUAUCAGGUGCCAGCCGCGUGCGGACCAUCGGGAUGUGCCAGCCCAGCUGAGGCCCCAGGUCACUGCAGCGCCCCCGCCGUCACGUGGCAGGGAAGAGGCGCCCGCAUGAGCCCAGCCAACGCAGCGAAUCCCGGGCGGGGACAACAUGGCAGCUCUUAUAAGCCGCUGCAUUUUGGGGCGGUUUGUUACACAGACACUGAUGCCGAAACAAUGGCUUGGGGGCUGGGAUCUUCUACUCCUUUGACCUCUGACUUCCUACCCUCCAUGCCCACCUGAGAGAAACACUGACCUUUGGGGACACCUGACUCCACCCAGGCCUCAUGGGGUCCGGUAGGCGGGGCUGGCUCUGGGGAGGGAAGGGCAGGUCUGGAUGUCUCCAGACCCCUGGAGAGGACCCCAGGGAAGGCGAAAUGAGCAGUUAUCCGUAUAAUCCCAACCUCAAUUCAAUUCCGUGUUCUCGUGCUGACCACACGCUCCACACCACGCUGCGGGCAGGCGCCGGAGCCGCAGGGACCGGGGGCACCGACCCCUCCCGAGAGGCACUGGGAGGCCAGUGGGAGACCCAGACGCAUUGAUGCGCACCUGCCGUGUGGCUUGAGCCGUGUGUCACAGAAGUAUAUUCAACUGAGAAGGGAAGGGACUCUGGAGUUAAGGCGCUGGGGUAGGGGUGUUUCCACCCCGAGCCGAAAGCAGCCGCCACAGUAAUGAGAACAAGAAACAGAGACAGAAACUCCCAUCUUCGAAGAAACUAGGAGACACCUGUAACCUCAAAGCACGAGCACUGAGAGCAGAUGGUGGGGUGGUAAAUGAUUUAACAGAGCCCAGGGGAGCAAACCUCAGUGCCUGCUGUUACGUGGCAGGGCAGGGGAGGUGGGUUUUGGAGAUGGACACGACGUGAACCAGCUGGCCUUGCAGAAUCCCGGAGAGGCUCCGAACCGGGGCACCUGGACACCACUGAUCGUGAGGCAGGAGGCUGAAACAAGAGGGUUGUUUGAGGUCUGUGUAAGGAACAGUCAGACACCUCCUUUCCAGGUCCUCUCCUUGGCACUACUCAGACAGUCAACUGCCCCUUCUUACCCCAGGCAGGGAGAAUUCAGCCAGAAUGCUCCGGACCCAGGGACACCAGCUGUGGAGCAGAGUGGGUGAGGCAGCAGAAUGAUUUCUGGAGAUGCUGUAGAUUUGAUUAUGCUCCUUCCCAUCCAUGGGAAGGAAUGUCUUUCCCCACUGCCCUGCUGCGGGGCUUGGGCAUGUGAGUUGCUGAGGCCACUGGGCUGUGCAUCAGAAGGAGGGACUGCAAUGUGCUUGCACCCCUGAGCAUGCUCUCUUGUGCUGCCAAUACAAAUGAAUUGAAUUAAAUUAAAUAGAACAUGCCCUGGACGAGCCUGCUGUUUCCAAGAGUGGAAGGAACCACUGAGCAGAGCUGCAACCUACAGACUUGGCCCAGUCCAGCCCAGUCUAAACCAGCUCAUACCAGCCGACCUGAAGAUGUGUGAGUGGACCAAGUGCUUACUGUCGUGUGCCACAGAGUUUUGUGGGUAUUUGUUACACAGCAAUAGCUGACUGAUACAGGGGGAUUAUGUGAAAGCCCGGAUACCGAACAAAGUGACCCCAGCCCCCUUCCCUGGCCCAAUUCAAGGGUGUCAGCACCUGGGCAUACACUCACCCAGACAGGGAAUUUGAGGGUCUGGUCAUCCCAGAGAGAAGUCUCACAGAUGCUGACAUCUGGGUGUCCUUGACCAAAGAGCCAGCUGCCCUGCGGAGGUGCUCAUCACUGCACGAGCACGGCUCCUGCGCUCCAGUCAGAUUGCUGCUGCCUGACUCUGAAGCAGGAAUGGAUAACAAGGGUUGAUUAGCUGAAGAAAGCUGCAACGUGAAAGAGUCCUGAUCAAAUGAGUAGGAGGAAAGGAACUGGCAAGAAACGUGGACAGUGCAGUGAGCAGAAGAAAACGUCAAAGAACCAUCAUUGCCAUCCUUGAGGACAUCAGGAAACAUGUACCCACAGAUGAGCACAGAACGCCACCGCAAAGGAGCAAUCAGAACACAGAAAAGAGCUCUUGGAAAUUAAAAAUAUGUUGAUUAAAAAGAAGAAGAUCUGGUGAUGGGCACACAGAAAACCCUCACUUAAGCAUUAUUCAGGGAAUCCAUGUGACAAAAAUACCUGCACCUCCUUAAUUAAUAUUUUGAAAUAAAAACAGAAGGAUUAGAAGAUAAAAACAGAUAAUAAUAAAAAAAAAAUCCAGGAAGUAGAACAAAAUAGUAAAGGGCGAACGACAAGAAAAUUAAAGGUUUAAUCCAGGAGGCCCAAUA